rnacentral:piRNA from 1 species
UGAAGGAAAGGUUCAUGUGCUAUUGUC